UACAGGGGGUGCAAACGUUGCUCGGAAUUAUUGGGCGUAAAGCGCGCGUAGGCGGCUUCUUAAGUCGGAUGUGAAAGCCCUUGGCUCAACUGAGGAAGUGCACCCGAAACUGAGUGGCUAGAGUACGAAAGAGGGUCGCGGAAUUCCCGGUGUAGAGGUGAAAUUCGUAGAUAUCGGGAGGAACACCGGUGGCGAAGGCGGCGACCUGGGUCGAUACUGACGCUGAUGCGCGAAAGCGUGGGGAGCAAACAGG
rnacentral:rRNA from 1 species